rnacentral:rRNA from 1 species
AGAGUUUGAUCAUGGCUCAGGAUGAACGCUGGCGGCGUGCUUAACACAUGCAAGUCGAACGAGAACCCGAUUUCGGUUGGGUGAAAGUGGCGAACGGGUGCGUAACACGUUGGUGACCUGCCCCGAAGUGGGGGACAACUCCUCGAAAGAGGAGCUAAUACCCCAGAUGUCUAGGUGGUUAGAGAGCAUAGACUAAGGUUUUUCGGAAUGCUUCGGGAGGGGCCUGCGGGCUAUCAGCUAGUUGGUGGGGUAAAGGCCUACCAAGGCGAAGACGGCUAGGGGGCGUGAGAGCGUGGUCCCCCACAAUGGAACUGAGACACGGUCCAUACUCCUACGGGAGGCAGCAGUGAGGAAUAUUGAGCAAUGGGCGCAAGCCCUGAC